CUGCAACUUAUUAAGCCGACCGAUUCUCCUGUAGUGAGGAUUUGGUGUGCAAAAGCUGCAGACAGUGACUCUUUGGUUGUGUAUGUCCUCAGCUGGAAGGUGCUGAGUGCUUUAAGGGACCACUGAGACAAAU
rnacentral:snoRNA from 1 species